CAUCCUGACAGAGGGAGAGAAGAUGAAUCAAUUGGGGAAAGGAAAGUUCGGCAUGACAAUGCCGCUUUAAGAGGAAAAUGCUCUUUUCUAAUUUUCUCACCAUAAGUUCUCCCAGUCGAUCUUUCCUCAUACUGUGCUGCUAGGUCUCAGAAUGGGUGAUUCAGGACUAUGAGUGAUGUAAUUUCCCAAAGCCAUCGAUCUUGAAGGCCUAAACAGUGCAAUGUAAAUGAGCUGCAGAGGCUUAACUAGCCUAACAGAACUGAGCGCUAUUGUAUUAAUAAUUAAAAAAAAAAAAAUUCUGAGAGAUAUACAUAGCCUGGGAGAUAUAAGCAGGCACAGGAACGUAGGGAUACAGAUACCCUUGAGAAAGGCAGCCAGGGAGGUGCCAAAAUGUUAGGGGUUACUGGUGAUUCGUGUUCUUUCCUGUUAUUCUUGAGGAAUUGGUGGUAAUUACUUUUGUAUAUGUGCCUUGCCUUUUUUUGCUUUGUAUAUUUGUUUUGUUUAUUUUGUAUUGUU